rnacentral:rRNA from 1 species
UACAGGGGGGGCAAGCGUUGUUCGGAAUUACUGGGCGUAAAGGGCUCGUAGGUGGCCAACUAAGUCAGACGUGAAAUCCCCAGGCUUAACCUGGGAACUGCAUCCGAUACUGGAUGGCUUGAAUCCGGGAGAGGGAUGCGGAAUUCCAGGUGUAGCGGUGAAAUGCGUAGAUAUCUGGAGGAACACCGGUGGCGAAGGCGGCAUCCUGGACCGGCAUUGACGCUGAGGAGCGAAAGCCAGGGGAGCAAACGGG